GACCCAUCUAUGCUAUGAAAAUUCAAACCCAUUUACACAAACCAUUUUUGCUCCUCCUGGUUGCUUGUUCCUCUUUGUCUUGCUCCUUUUGGCUAUAAUCGAACAAUAGGUUGCAUAUGGUUAGUCAUCAUGUUUAUUGAGUAAUUUGGUAUUGAUUAUGUAAGCAAUCGAUAAGGUAAAAGAACUGGCAUAGGGAGAAAAAGUUUGGAAGAGAAGAAAAGUCUGCUGCUACAACUCUGUCAUCAAAGGUUGUGAAUGUCGUUCUUGCAAUCGGAACUGAUGAUAGGCUGAACAUCAAAAUUAAGAAGUACAGGGAAUUAAGUAGGAGUCAUAUUAUUGCGCGCUUACAGGUUGCCAAUCAAUUGUUUGAUUAUGGGAAAGGAAGGCAAAUGCCCUGCCACCAUGGUUCGAAUGAGCUCAAUUACUUAACCGUUUCUUAGCCAAUAGCGCCGUGGCGUUGCUUAUUCCCUCAAAAUGAAAAAAAAAGGCUUGCGCAGUUACUUCCUUUGGAGAUGGUAGAAGCAUUCGUUUAGAUGGCAACGAUGCCUUGGCAACUUAUAGUGCUAUUCGUGCAGCUCGCAAAAUGGCAAUUAAGGAACAAAAGUAGAGGUAAAAACUCAUAUCAGUGUUCAAGUUUACAACACAAUGUUGCAAAAUCUGGAGUACUGAAUGUUGAAAUUGUUAAACAUAAAUCACUCUUAAAACUGCUAGACUUGACAUUCUUUUAGGCCAUGACAUAGAGAGUAGCUCACCACUGAACAUCUGAUGAUUCAACCAAGUAUCGACCCGUUGAGAAAAUAAAAAACUGGAAACAAUAUCAAAAUUCAGCAAAUAUAUUUCAAGGAAAUGGCUGGUGGAAUGAUAAAAAUGAAUCCGAACUUCGCAGAGACAUCAGAAAACAGGUUCAAUAUUGGCAGAACAACAUCUGAUAUUGGACUUUGUGCUGUUUUCCAGUAUUCAAUUUGUUGGAUUUUAAAAAAGGUGUGAAUGGAAAAUGAAGAGUUGCGACUUUUAUGAAGAGUUGUGACUUUUAUGAAAUGUUGCGACUUUGAUGAAAAGUGGUGACUUUCAUGAAAAGUUGCAAUUUUUAUGAAAAGUUGUGACUUUUAUGGAAAGUUGUGACUUUUAUGAAAGGUGACGACCAUUCUGAAAGAUUGUGACUUUUCCGGUAAGGCACAAUAAGAACCUUUUCGCACCACCCUUUGUCUUCUAUAAAUUUA